ensembl:lncRNA
UUCUAAGAAUGGAGGUGUAGCAAGAAGUUGCCUAAUCAGUGGCUGCGCCUUCCUGCACAGAAGUCAUGUGUUCAUUGAUCACCACUGGGUGGGUUUGUCUACAGCGGUCAGAUUUUUUUUUUUUAUGACAAUCUAAAACACAUUCAAGAUAUGUGGAUCACAUUGUGGACACUAGUGCAUCACGCUAAGGUUUUGAUUUUCUACUUAUUAAAAAAAAUGGAUGGUGGAAGAUUGUUGAGAAUGGCUUACCCAGUUUAUUUCAUACCACUCCUUGAAAACAGCUCUGUGAUGUAUCCAUCUGUCGAUAUCUAAACUUGAUGAUUACUCCAUGCAUGACAGUGGGAGGACCACACCAGUCUCCGUGACAAUCUACUAUGGAUCACAGAAUGUGUCACACUGCCCCAGUUCUUGGGAGAAGUUUAAGGGGUGGGCUAUGAUGACUUACCGGUGCCGGUCAUUGCUUGCGGACAUAAAAGGAACCUCACCUCCCUGGGAUAUAGUGCUAAAAGUACAUGUGUACAUCCAGUGUGGCCAGAAGUGUUUGUCACGUUCCUGCUGAAUAGCACCGCUGUACUGUCAAACAUGCAAUCCACCUUGCCCAGUUACCGUUGGAUUGGACUGUAUUUGCUGGCAACUUUCCUGUUGACCUGCUCAUUUGAGCGGUCAGUUGCUGCAAAGCAGUUAAUGAAGAGAAGUUCUCCAACAGACAUCAGGGUUGUCAAACGAACGUCAGUGAUGUGUUGUAAAAAAACAAGUCCAGCACGCUUCAGGACGGAGAUCACCAGUUGCAUCAUUCAAAGCAAAUCAGACGUUUGUUUAGCUGCCGUCGUAUUCAGCACGAAUGGGAGAAUGUACUGCAGUUCUCCUCAUGCAAGUUGGGUGAAGUAUAAGGUGCAAGAGUUGGCACAGAAAGGCAGGCCGUGUUUGGACAGAUGAUCAUGUAGGGAAGAGCUCGAAGUGGAAAGGCCAAGAUCCUACAGUAUAUUCUUUGAAGAUAUCACCUUCACUGCUAUGAAGUUUCUUUAGAUUUUCUGUAUGAAUGAUGAUAUUAUGUUACUUUGUUGUUCUUUGGUAAAAAGUGAUUUUUCUUAAAGCAUAUGAUAAAAGCCUUUGCACAAAGAGCAUUUGACUGUACCUAACAAAUGCACUCAGAGUAUCCUUAAUGUUUUUAAGAUAAAGUUUGUGAAUAUGGGUGAUUCUAACAAUAAAUUAAACAUAUGAAUUAAUCAACAACUAUUAUUCAUGGCAUACCAUAUGGAAAAGGUCUGACAAUCACAGAUCAUACAAAAUAUGAAAUGGCUCAAUAUAAUUGUGUUGAACUGGGCUUGAAUAUAUUUCUUGUCAAUUGAAUCAAACAAGACAGACAUUUGGAGGUGUAUAAUCUGUAGAAGAAUAACGAAA